rnacentral:rRNA from 1 species
AGGACGAACGCUGGCGGCGUGCUUAACACAUGCAAGUCGAGCGGAAAGGCCCUUCGGGGUACUCGAGCGGCGAACGGGUGAGUAACACGUGAGUAACCUGCCCCUAGCUCUGGGAUAGCUCCGGGAAACCGGGAUUAAUACCAGAUACGACCACUUUAGACAUCUGUCGUGGUGGAAAGGAUUCCGGCUAGGGAUGGGCUCGCGGCCUAUCAGCUUGUUGGUGGGGUAACGCCUACCAAGGCGACGACGGUAGCCGGCCUGAGAGGGCGACCGGCCACACUGGGACUGAGACACGGCCCAGACUCCUACGGGAGGCAGCAGUGGGAAUAUUGCGCAAUGGGCGAAAGCCUGACGCAGCGACGCCGCGUGGGGGAUGGAAGGCCUUCGGGUUGUAAACCCCUUUCAGCAGGGACGAAGCGAAAGUGACGGUACCUGCAGAAGAAGCGCCGGCUAACUACGCGCCAGCAGCCGC